UGAUCCUGGCUCAGAUUGAACGCUGGCGGCAGGCCUAACACAUGCAAGUCGAGCGGUAGCACAGAGAGCUUGCUCUCGGGUGACGAGCGGCGGACGGGUGAGUAAUGUCUGGGAAACUGCCUGAUGGAGGGGGAUAACUACUGGAAACGGUAGCUAAUACCGCAUAACGUCGCAAGACCAAAGUGGGGGACCUUCGGGCCUCAUGCCAUCAGAUGUGCCCAGAUGGGAUUAGCUGGUAGGUGGGGUAACGGCUCACCUAGGCGACGAUCCCUAGCUGGUCUGAGAGGAUGACCAGCCACACUGGAACUGAGACACGGUCCAGACUCCUACGGGAGGCAGCAGUGGGGAAUAUUGCACAAUGGGCGCAAGCCUGAUGCAGCCAUGCCGCGUGUGUGAAGAAGGCCUUCGGGUUGUAAAGCACUUUCAGCGGGGAGGAAGGCGGUGAGGUUAAUAACCUCAUCGAUUGACGUUACCCGCAGAAGAAGCACCGGCUAACUCCGUGCCAGCAGCCGCGGUAAUACGGAGGGUGCAAGCGUUAAUCGGAAUUACUGGGCGUAAAGCGCACGCAGGCGGUCUGUCAAGUCGGAUGUGAAAUCCCCGGGCUCAACCUGGGAACUGCAUUCGAAACUGGCAGGCUAGAGUCUUGUAGAGGGGGGUAGAAUUCCAGGUGUAGCGGUGAAAUGCGUAGAGAUCUGGAGGAAUACCGGUGGCGAAGGCGGCCCCCUGGACAAAGACUGACGCUCAGGUGCGAAAGCGUGGGGAGCAAACAGGAUUAGAUACCCUGGUAGUCCACGCUGUAAACGAUGUCGAUUUGGAGGUUGUGCCCUUGAGGCGUGGCUUCCGGAGCUAACGCGUUAAAUCGACCGCCUGGGGAGUACGGCCGCAAGGUUAAAACUCAAAUGAAUUGACGGGGGCCCGCACAAGCGGUGGAGCAUGUGGUUUAAUUCGAUGCAACGCGAAGAACCUUACCUGGUCUUGACAUCCACAGAACUUUCCAGAGAUGGAUUGGUGCCUUCGGGAACUGUGAGACAGGUGCUGCAUGGCUGUCGUCAGCUCGUGUUGUGAAAUGUUGGGUUAAGUCCCGCAACGAGCGCAACCCUUAUCCUUUGUUGCCAGCGGUUAGGCCGGGAACUCAAAGGAGACUGCCAGUGAUAAACUGGAGGAAGGUGGGGAUGACGUCAAGUCAUCAUGGCCCUUACGACCAGGGCUACACACGUGCUACAAUGGCAUAUACAAAGAGAAGCGACCUCGCGAGAGCAAGCGGACCUCAUAAAGUAUGUCGUAGUCCGGAUUGGAGUCUGCAACUCGACUCCAUGAAGUCGGAAUCGCUAGUAAUCGUAGAUCAGAAUGCUACGGUGAAUACGUUCCCGGGCCUUGCACACACCGCCCGUCACGGA
rnacentral:rRNA from 1 species